AUGCUACAAAAUUCUUUUCUCUUUUUUAGGGAUAUAAGUCAGCUAUUUAAAGCUGCAAGGAUGAAUGAUUUUUUCACUAUGCAAGCACUACUGCAAAAAGGAGAUAUUGAUUCUUUUGUGAGAGGGGGAUGUGGAGAAACUAUUCUACAUGCAGCCUUACUUAGUGGCAGUAAAGAAGUUGUUGAAGUUAUUUUGGAUGAGGUGCCCUCUUUGAUUAAUGAGCCAGUGACAUCCAACACAUAUAGAGGUAUAGUAUCAAAAUCCUUUAAAAGAUGUUUAAUUUUUCAUAUUUUAAUACCAUUUUAAUAUCUUACCCUACUUCCUCUCUCUUCUACGGCACUCCACAAGGUAAACUUGAAUUUGUAUCUUUUAUUCACCCCACCCUCAGCCCCAUGGCACCUUUGUUUGGACUGUGAGCCUGUUGGGCAGAGAUUGUCUCUAUCUGUUGCCGAAUGGUACAUUCCAAGCGCUUAGUAUAGUGGUCUCCACAUAGUAAGCGCUCAAUAAAUGCGAUUGAAUGAAUGAGUGACUAUCUGUAACUUAUUUUAGUGUCUGUUUCCCCCUCUGGGCUGAAAGCUCCUUGUGGGCAGAGAACAUGUCUGUCUUCCCACUCUGUUUUAUUGUGCUCUCCCAAGCACUUAGUACACAGCUCUACACACAGUAAGUGCUCAAUAAAUAUGAUGGAUUACUCAUGAAAUUCAGAUUCCCUGUUUUGAUUAUUGCAGAUAGAAGGGAAAGUGGAGUGUUUAAAAUUAAUAAACAUGUAGAUAAGUGGCAGAGCCUCCACCUUCUAGACUGUGAGCCCAUUGUUGGGCAGGGAUUGUCUCUAUUUGUUGCUGAAUUGUAUUUUCCUAAUGCUUAGUACAGAGCUCUGCACAUUGUAAGUGCUCAAUAAAUAUGAUUGAAUGAAUGAAUGUUAGUUUUAAUCAUGGUAUUUAGUAAGUGCUUACUACUUGCUAAGCCCUGUGCUAAAUGAUGGGGAGUAGAUAGAGCGUCAUCAGAUAGGACACAGUUCUUGCCCCACAUAACUAAUAAUUAUGGUAUUUGUUAAAUGCUUACUAUGUGCCAGACACUCAGACCUGAUGGUUGCUAUCUUCCAAAAUACUUCCAGUCCAGAUUGAGCCUCCUGAUUGGACCAAUACUCCCUGUGGAUUCUGAGGCCUUGUGGAUUACAGGAGGAGCAUUCAAAGGCUUAGAAGACCUAGCAGAUACUAGUCUGGUUUGAAUUCCAGAAGCUGAGGCAAAAGUCCAAGGAUUGCCUCUCUGCCCCCUUCUUCACCUCCCCUCAGCUAAGCCCCCUUUCCCCCCUUUGCCUCUUCUCCUCCCCCUCUCCCUUCCCCUCCCCUCAGCACUGUGCUCAUUUG
rnacentral:lncRNA from 1 species